ACAGAAGCAGGCAAGGACAGCUGACCUCCAGAGGUCCUUCCAACCUAAACUUUUCUAUCAUCCUGUGUGUACAGGGAGGCCCAGUAUUGACUCGGAACAUAUACUGCAGGUGUCUGAACUAUAAGACCCAUUUUUCUGAUCUUCUUUUUCCUAAAGUUAGUGAAUAUGACAAAAGAACAUCUCUGCAGAAUUAACCUAUAUACGCUUCAUUCCCUGUGCUUCCCUCUGAGAGAAAUAAGUAGCUAGAGAGGAAUUCUCUCUUCUCAUCUGAGUCAUGCAACUCUUCGUUCCAAAACUCCAGGCAGUAAUUAGGUCUGAUUUGAUGCAUGAUCUCACUGUUGGUGCUGGAUGCUCAGUACAAACACUUCUCCUUCAGUGAACUAUCAAUGACAAUGGCAUCAUCAAUAUUCACUCAGGGCAUCCUCCAAGGAAAGCUAAUGAAGCACUCUUCAUUAUGUCCAACUUAUGUCCUUUGUCUUCUCACGAGGAAGACUCAGCCUCCUAGAGCAAUCAUGAAGUACGUCAUGUAGAAGUUUGGCAACUUUCCCACAGCUUAUUGCCUUUACUCAAAUUUGAAGUUGUCACUUGCAGUCUUUCCUCUACUGAAAUGUCAAAGGCAUUUUCCUCAGGGGACAAUGCACACGUCAUCAUGCACAGCAAAGAAACAGCUCAUCCUAAACAAAGAGUGGCAAUUGCAAACCUGAACUUUCCAUCUCAUGACAACGGAAUUACUGUACUGAAAAUAGCCUGCAGGGAGACCCAGUGGAUCAAAGGAAGGACCUAACCGUAACUCGGGCACUUGCUGUCAACUUCCUUUUUCCAAGAUGCUCUUUUUUCCCACUAUGUGAAAAAGGAAUGACUGGAAGAAGAAGCAAGGUGGCUAGUACUGUCACAACACAGCAAGGUGGCUAGUACUGUCACAACACAGAAAUAGAUAUGCAAUCGGAGCAUCUGAAGGAGGAAGAGAUCUCGAAGCAGAAGGAGGUGUCUGAGGAGCUCACACUGAGCAAGAUGCACUUGCUGCAGUGACAGAGUGUUAUCCAGUCACAGCUGAUGGCCUCUUUGAUUACAUGGAUGAGACUCCCAUUAAACCUCCCUUUGCUCCACCAAACUUCAGCCUGAAAAGCUAGGGUGGAAGAAAGAAGCCAGAGCAAACAAGCAAGGAUGAAAGCGGCAGCUGCAGGCAUCAUCUUCCUGAAUUGACUGUUCAAGUGUGGUAUGCACUAAUGGAAAAGAGCAAAUGUUCACAUUCUGUUGAAUUCAUCCAGCCAUCUUAUUCCACCCUUCAGUCACAACUGCAGGACGUCAGCAGGAUCUUAAAUUGUUCCUCUACAAAGAUAUUUCUGAUACGUUAACUUAUCAUACUUUGUUUUCCCCAAUGCACAAGGGGCUGCCAGCGCUUUCUUUGCCACAGGGAUGAAAGGAAGAGUGAACAACGUGGAAUUGUUAGAUUUUUGGAGUAAUGCUAUUUUCUCCUAUAAUCAGAAUCACACUAGAGGAUCAAGCCUUUAUCCCUAGGAAAGAAAAAACUGGUGUUUUUCCUAGUUGCCUGUUCAAAGGUUGACUUUACAUUACCACUUUUUUUAAUAAAAUACCAGGUAAGAUUUAACUGUGUGCUAUAGAAGAACAGGUACACGCUUAUUCAGAUACUGUUUAUAAGAUGAGUCUUAAGAUUCUGUGGCUAAAAUGUUUGGCUUUCAGAUAAUUAGGAUAAUUAAUCUGCUUUUGCUAACUAACAACCCUGUACUUGAGGAGUACAUAUCAAAGGGUAUAUAAUCAAACAAAUGAACAAUAUACAAAGUACAUUGGCAGCAUAUAUAGAGAGAAGUAAUGACGGAUGCAUUUAAAAAGCUGAGAAGUGGAGACAUGAAAAAAAGCAUUCAUUUUGUUGGGAUUUCAUAUUUUGAGUUUUCAGUUAUCUUAGUUUGUUUCCUCUAGUCUGUAGGGAAGGUAUAAAUGCUGUCUGGAGAAAAUCAGUGUUAUAAUGAGAUUGGAAAGCACUGAAACAUGACAAACUGUGUCAAGGGUACACUUCCAGGAAGAGCAAGGACUGUAUACUCUUCCCACGGGAAAAGAAGUGAGGAGACCUGAUAAUCUUUUAAUACAACAGAAGAAUGGUGAAAGGAUGUAAAAGUGUCUCUAAGGCAAUAAUUUAAAAUAAUGGAAUACUUAUUUUAGGUAAAUAAAAAUUGCACACACCCAAUGAAUAGUCAUUAAAGCCCUGGAAUUGGAUGUAUUAGCAUGUUAUGUCUAGAAUUCCACUGCAUUUAUUGGGGGAAUUCAAAAUCAAAAUGAAAGAAGUACAAAACAAAUUUCUUUGAUCAUGCCUUUCUGGAGAAACCUGCAUCCAAGUGCAUUCAAGUGCCAAGUACAGAAAUGGUAGUACUUCUUAGGAAGGGUGAGGGAAGAAUAUCCACAGAGAGUCACAGAUGAUGCUAAACUUAUCUGAGAGAAGGCUGUGAAUGCUCAGCAUUUGAUCUGUUCCCACACAUGGAACUACCCCGAGGGCAGCUGACAAACGUUCAGCCCUAGCUUACACCACAGUAAAUAGGUUGGGUAGCCAACCUCAACAGUAAAUCUCAGAAAGCUAUUUCCUGGGGACAGUAGUCUCCUGUGUAAUUUCAUGUUGCAGUGUUUGCUGCAAA